rnacentral:tRNA from 1 species
AGUUCUUUAGUAUAUUUGAGUAUGUUUGAUUUCCAAUCAAGAGGAUAUAAGAAUUA